rnacentral:misc_RNA from 1 species
GAAUUGCGAUAAGUAGUGUGAAUUGCAGAAUUUCGUGAAUCAUCGAAUCUUUGAACGCACAUUGCACUUUUUGGUAUCCCGAAAAGUAUGCCUGUUUGAGAAUCGAUUUAAUCCAUCACUUGAACUUUGGUGAAAGUGGACUUGGGUGAUACCGUUUACUCGGUUCACCUUAAAGAAAUAAGACUGAGACUCUUUGUUUCAAAGCGAUAUUAGUAAGCUCUGGCUUAUUACCGCUGACUGAAACACUUUGACUUGAUCCUAAAUCGAACUUUGAUCUUUGAUGCAAGACCCUGUUUGGAACUGCUCUGGUAGUUUCAAUCAAUUAUGGUCUCAAAUCAGGCAAGACUACCCGCUGAACUUAA